GGAGUUGUGGCUCAGGGGUACAGCUUCUGCUAGCCAUGCAGAAAGUCCUCGGUUCAAUCUUUGGCAUCUCCA
rnacentral:tRNA from 1 species